GACGAACGCUGGCGGCGUGCUUAACACAUGCAAGUCGAACGCUGAAGCUCAGCUUUUGUUGGGUGGAUGAGUGGCGAACGGGUGAGUAACACGUGAGUAACCUGCCCCCUUCUUUGGGAUAACGCCCGGAAACGGGUGCUAAUACUGGAUAUUCACUGGUCUCCGCAUGGGGGUUGGUGGAAAGGGUUUUUCUGGUGGGGGAUGGGCUCGCGGCCUAUCAGCUUGUUGGUGGGGUGAUGGCCUACCAAGGCUUUGACGGGUAGCCGGCCCGAGAGGGUGACCGGUCACAUUGGGACUGAGAUACGGCCCAGACUCCUACGGGAGGCAGCAGUGGGGAAUAUUGCACAAUGGGCGCAAGCCUGAUGCAGCGACGCCGCGUGAGGGAUGGAGGCCUUCGGGUUGUGAACCUCUUUCGCUCAUGGUCAAGCCGCAACAAUGGUUGUGGUGAGGGUAGUGGGUAAAGAAGCGCCGGCUAACUACGUG
rnacentral:rRNA from 1 species